rnacentral:rRNA from 1 species
UACGAAGGGGGCUAGCGUUGUUCGGAAUUACUGGGCGUAAAGCGCACGUAGGCGGAUAUUUAAGUCGGGGGUGAAAUCCCGGGGCUCAACCCCGGAACUGCCUUCGAUACUGGGUAUCUUGAGUUCGGAAGAGGUGAGUGGAAUUGCGAGUGUAGAGGUGAAAUUCGUAGAUAUUCGCAGGAACACCAGUGGCGAAGGCGGCUCACUGGUCCGAUACUGACGCUGAGGUGCGAAAGCGUGGGGAGCAAACGGG